rnacentral:rRNA from 1 species
GAGAAGCUUGCUUCUCUGAUGUUAGCGGCGGACGGGUGAGUAACACGUGGAUAACCUACCUAUAAGACUGGGAUAACUUCGGGAAACCGGAGCUAAUACCGGAUAAUAUUUUGAACCGCAUGGUUCAAAAGUGAAAGACGGUCUUGCUGUCACUUAUAGAUGGAUCCGCGCUGCAUUAGCUAGUUGGUAAGGUAACGGCUUACCAAGGCAACGAUGCAUAGCCGACCUGAGAGGGUGAUCGGCCACACUGGAACUGAGACACGGUCCAGACUCCUACGGGAGGCAGCAGUAGGGAAUCUUCCGCAAUGGGCGAAAGCCUGACGGAGCAACGCCGCGUGAGUGAUGAAGGUCUUCGGAUCGUAAAACUCUGUUAUUAGGGAAGAACAUAUGUGUAAGUAACUGUGCACAUCUUGACGGUACCUAAUCAGAAAGCCACGGCUAACUACGUGCCAGCAGCCGCGGUAAUACGUAGGUGGCAAGCGUUAUCCGGAAUUAUUGGGCGUAAAGCGCGCGUAGGCGGUUUUUUAAGUCUGAUGUGAAAGCCCACGGCUCAACCGUGGAGGGUCAUUGGAAACUGGAAAACUUGAGUGCAGAAGAGGAAAGUGGAAUUCCAUGUGUAGCGGUGAAAUGCGCAGAGAUAUGGAGGAACACCAGUGGCGAAGGCGACUUUCUGGUCUGUAACUGACGCUGAUGUGCGAAAGCGUGGGGAUCAAACAGGAUUAGAUACCCUGGUAGUCCACGCCGUAAACGAUGAGUGCUAAGUGUUAGGGGGUUUCCGCCCCUUAGUGCUGCAGCUAACGCAUUAAGCACUCCGCCUGGGGAGUACGACCGCAAGGUUGAAACUCAAAGGAAUUGACGGGGACCCGCACAAGCGGUGGAGCAUGUGGUUUAAUUCGAAGCAACGCGAAGAACCUUACCAAAUCUUGACAUCCUUUGACAACUCUAGAGAUAGAGCCUUCCCCUUCGGGGGACAAAGUGACAGGUGGUGCAUGGUUGUCGUCAGCUCGUGUCGUGAGAUGUUGGGUUAAGUCCCGCAACGAGCGCAACCCUUAAGCUUAGUUGCCAUCAUUAAGUUGGGCACUCUAAGUUGACUGCCGGUGACAAACCGGAGGAAGGUGGGGAUGACGUCAAAUCAUCAUGCCCCUUAUGAUUUGGGCUACACACGUGCUACAAUGGACAAUACAAAGGGCAGCGAAACCGCGAGG